AAAGAAUUAGUUAAUUUAUAACAUUUGUAUGUCAAACUUAAAUUAUUACAUUAGUAAUAUUCUUUUAUUCC
rnacentral:tRNA from 1 species